UACGUAGGGCGCAAGCGUUGUCCGGAAUUAUUGGGCGUAAAGAGCUCGUAGGCGGCUUGUCACGUCGGGUGUGAAAGCCCGGGGCUUAACCCCGGGUCUGCAUUCGAUACGGGCUGGCUAGAGUGUGGUAGGGGAGAUCGGAAUUCCUGGUGUAGCGGUGAAAUGCGCAGAUAUCUGGAGGAACACCGGUGGCGAAGGCGGCAUCCUGGACCAACACUGACGCUGAGUGAGCGAAAGCCAGGGGAGCAAACGGG
rnacentral:rRNA from 1 species